UUGUCCUGAAGUACAACAAAUUCCCCAUUAAGGAUGCUUUUGGAGAGGGCCAUGAGCUCGUUCCAGCCACUGAGAACCUGGAGGUGGCCAUAAAGAAGAUCGAGGCCCAAGUCCAUGACCAGGUGA